UACGUAGGGUGCGAGCGUUAAUCGGAAUUACUGGGCGUAAAGCGUGCGCAGGCGGUUGAUUAAGUCUGAUGUGAAAGCCCCGGGCUCAACCUGGGAAUGGCAUUGGAAACUGGUCAGCUGGAGUGUGGCAGAGGGGGGUGGAAUUCCGCGUGUAGCGGUGAAAUGCGCAGAUAUCAGGAAGAACACCCGUGGCGAAGGCGGCUCUCUGGGACGGUACUGACGCUGAGACGCGAAAGCGUGGGGAGCGAACAGG
rnacentral:rRNA from 1 species